GUUGUUUUGGAAUCCAACUUCACCCAAAUUCUCUGUUCCAGUAUCUGUUAUGAAGGAAAUUCUAUUUCCAGAAUAUGAGAGUUUUCAAGCCAGCAAAAUUUUAAUUGAAAAAUGUUCAUCAGGAAGCAAGGAAAGUGUCAUUUUACAUCAGCAUACCAGAAGUCCUAGGUUUCUUUUCCUAAGGAAAUCUGCAUCAUUUCAAAAUAUCCAAAAAUGUUUCAGCACACCAUCUCUACAAUUAAAGG